rnacentral:RNase_P_RNA from 1 species
GUUACAAGUUAGGUUAUCGCGUUUGUUCUAGAACAAAUGAGGAAAGUCUGGACAGCAAAGAGCAGUACACCGGUGAAUAGCCGGAUAUUUGAUGGUAAAAAAUCAAAUAAUAGCAAGUGCCACAGAAAAUAACCGCUCAUGCAAAUGAGUAAGGGUGAAAAUGUGCGGUAAAAGCGCACGGUAAAUAUUGGUAACAUUAUUUACGGGUAAACCUUGUAUGCUGAAAUGCCAUGUAAACUGAGUAGAAGUAGCUCGCUUCGUAUUAAAAUCAGAGGGUAGGCAGAUGGACUACAACAGUAAUGUUGAUAGCAGAUAAAUGAUAACCCACGACAGAAUCCGGCUUAUAGACUUGUAACUUAU